rnacentral:rRNA from 1 species
UACGUAGGGCGCAAGCGUUGGCCGGAAUUAUUGGGCGUAAAGAGCUCGUAGGCGGCUUGUCACGUCGGGUGUGAAAGCCCGGGGCUUAACCCCGGGUCUGCAUUCGAUACGGGCUGGCUAGAGUGUGGUAGGGGAGAUCGGAAUUCCUGGUGUAGCGGUGAAAUGCGCAGAUAUCAGGAGGAACACCGAUGGCGAAGGCAGGUCUCUGGGCCGCUACUGACGCUGAGACGCGAAAGCAUGGGGAGCGAACAGG